rnacentral:pre_miRNA from 1 species
GUAAUACUUCCUCCGUUCGGAAUUACUUGUCUCGGAAAUGGAUGUAUCUAGAACUAAAAUACGUCUAGAUACAUUCAUUUCUGCGACAAGUAAUUCCGAACGGAGGGAGUAUUUG